GCGAGCGCGGCGCACGUCCUCGGGGCGGCGGGGGGCGGAGGGGAGGCCCCGCGCGGGGCCGGAUGCCGAGAGCGGCGCCGCCUGGAGGCGCGCCAGGGUCCUGCCCUGCGACGGGGGCCGGGAGGAGAUAAGGAAACUGAGCUCCCAGAAGUGAAGCGACUGGCCCCAGCGCUCCAGCCAGGGCGGAAAGGGCAUUCCGGCCACCCAGCGGAACCCCCCUCCCCUUCGGCCCGGCCCCAGGGCGGGGCCUCAGCGUUGUCUCCGGCCGCCCAGCCCGCGCUGACCCCAAAAGGAAAUGUGUGGCGUGGGGCUGAGUGAGCCCCUGGCCUCGCCCCUGAUCUGAGCAGGCCGGCUCGCCUUCCUCUCCCUCCGUUUCUCUUUGUGAAGGCUGGAAGCUGGCCAGUUGUCCUCUUGAGGGUCAGAGGAGCUGAAGCGGGGAUAGGGCGUUGGGCAGGGCCGCUGCUCCCCGCUAUUCCCUUCACCUCCCACCUCCGACACACACCCAUCGCCCCCUCCAAGACUUUGCUGGUGCGGGCCUCCUCCCCUGGGAGAACUUCCCUCCUCCUAGGCUGCCAGGCACCCCGAGGAGGAACAAAGUCCUGGGCGCCGUGUGUUUCUGCCAACAGUGCAAGAGCGUCUUUUCCAUCGAGCACCUCAGCUUCCAAAGGAGCCCGGAGGGGUGAGGCCGAGGCUGGGAGUGUCGGCGCUCGGGACCGUCCCUGCCCCUAGGGGGAGCUAAGAGUCAGCGCGGAGGGAGCGUUAACUGCACGGCGUGGGAGUCUGGGCCGCCCGGUCCCCUGGGGAGAUGACAAAUGAAUUGGGCCUCGGAGGCAAGGACUCUUGGGAUCCUUCUGACCUGGCGCCUGAAGGGAGGAGAACCGCGCCUCGAUUUUACUGCCUGGAAAAUGGGUUGUGGGUGGGUGGAACAGAACGGCUGAGGCCACUCCAGCGAGACCAAGAGCAAACCAGACAUUGCCCUGCUCUUUGGGACAAGAAGUGAAGUCGAAUUUACAGAGCGUUCAUCCGACAGCGCCAGUGGGGAGCCUGUGUUCCGCCCCACACUGGGGCGGUCUGUCAGAUCGCUCCUAUAGGUGCUCAAUAAAUACUUUUGGAAUGUUUUU
rnacentral:lncRNA from 1 species